UCAUUGCUUACAAUAUUUGCGCCGGGUGUACUCGUGACUCCACUUGGGGCGUUAAGCAUAAUCGUAAGUUCAGUGUUGGCGCACUUUGUGCUCAAGGAGCGGCUUGAGAAGCUCGGGGUCCUUGGCUGUGUGUCGUGCAUAGUAGGUUCAGUUGUUGUUGUCAUGCAUGCUCCUGAAGAGCAUAUGCCUAACUUUGUCAAGGAAAUCUAGAACCUAGCUACUCAACCAGGUGAGUCAUUGCAACCCAGUCUUGCGCACGACAGUUCGCUGGAGUUGCAGUUCUCACAGAAUCUCUCCAUCCUGGGGUGUCGAUCGUUGGUAGGGUUUCUAGCAUAUGUGGUGACAGCAUUGUUUCUUGUGGGAGCGCUAGUGCUCUUCUUUGAACCUCGAUACGGUUAGACUAACAUCCUGAUAUAUCUGGGUAUCUGCUCUUCAAUGGGAUCGCUAACGGUCGUGAGCAUCAAAGCCAUUGGUGUUGCCAUAAAGCUUACGUUGGAUGGGGUGAAUCAGGCUGCUUAUCCAUACACAUGGCUUUUUCUUAAUUGUUUGUGGGGUUUCUCAAAUAAAUUACCUGAACAAGGUAUGGACAUCC